rnacentral:rRNA from 1 species
AUUGAACGCUGGCGGCAGGCCUAACACAUGCAAGUCGAGCGAGCGGCGGACGGGUGAGUAAUGUAUGGGAAACUGCCCGAUGGAGGGGGAUAACUACUGGAAACGGUAGCUAAUACCGCAUACCAUCAGAUGUGCCCAGAUGGGAUUAGCUAGUAGGUGGGGUAACGGCUCACCUAGGCGACGAUCCCUAGCUGGUCUGAGAGGAUGAUCAGCCACACUGGAACUGAGAAACGGCCCAGACUCCUACGGGAGGCAGCAGUGGGGAAUAUUGCACAAUGGGCGCAAGCCUGAUGCAGCCAUGCCGCGUGUGUGAAGAAGGCCUUAGGGUUGUAAAGCACUUUCAGUCGGGAGGCGUUACCGGCAGAAGAAGCACCGGCUAACUCCGUGCCAGCAGCCGCGGUAAUUC